rnacentral:rRNA from 1 species
GACGAACGCUGGCGGCGUGCUUAACACAUGCAAGUCGAACGGAAAGUCCCUGCUUUUGUGGGGUGCUCGAGUGGCGAACGGGUGAGUAACACGUGAGUAACCUGUCCUUGCCUUUGGGAUAACUUCAGGAAACUGGGGCUAAUACCGGAUAGGAGCUACUGCUGCAUGGUGGGGGUUGGAUAGUUUCGGCGGUUGGGGAUGGACUCGCGGCUUAUUAGAUUGUUGGUGGGGUAGUGGCUUACCAAGGCUUUGACGGGUAGCCGGCCUGGGAGGGUGACCGGCCACAUUGGGACUGAGAUACGGCACAGACUCCUACGGGAGGCAGCGGUGGGGAAGAUUGCACAAGGGGCGGAAGCCUGACGUGGCAACGCCGCGUGGGGGAUGACGGCCUUGGGGUUGUAAACCGCUUUCGCUUGUGACGAAGCGUGAGUGACGGUAAUGGGUAAAGAAGCACCGGCUAACUACGUG